AUUAGAACCGAUUGCGGGCAAAACUCAGUCCGAGUCACGGAGUUUCUAAUGUUACAAGGAAGCAGAGUAAAAGUUCAGCAAGUGCGAUGGGGCGUAGAGAGGAAUGAAGGGGAGGCAGGCGGGUCCAAGAACAGAUUACGCGAGGAGCAGCUGUUCGCUUCCUUUUCAGGAGAAGCGGUAAUGUUUCCUCAGUGAUUUGCCUCUAGUCAGAUAAACACAGCUGGUGGUAAGAGAUUCGUCAGGCCGGGCAGAGCUACACAUCUGCCCGAAAGAGGAAGGCAAGUGCUCUACAGAUGAAAACAAGUCAUGGUGCUCAUCUCAAGGAUUUCAUUUCUCAAACAACAUCAAAACACACUGAAGAUAAUUUAUGGACCACGUAACAAGAACAGGAGCAGGCCCAGGUACCCCAGGACCUCUGACCUCCUCACUGCUGUCUCACAGACUAACCACAUGGAGCUCGUUUGGUCAUGUUGAUGUUUUUGUGACAUUGGUGGUGCUUUGGUAUUUGACGUUGUGGGUUCACCUUCACCCAUACCUGGAACUGUUUUUUCUGAGUUCACAGUUUUGUGACUGAAAGUUUGGAGAAGUAACCAAUAGCCUUCAAAGGUAAUGUGAGUAUUGACUGUGAUUUACUUCAGGUAAUCCUUCAGGUGGGCACUGACCUGCAUCUUUGUGCUGGAGAGUAUCUGUUAAGGAGUCCUGCGACUUGCUGUCCUUUAUCGCACUGCACUGCUUUAUCAUUUAUUUAAUACUGUACUUGUACUCAAACACUUUUACAAAUAUCUGGAUCUUGAAAUUUGUUGCCAGAUUCUGGAGCAUUCAUCCUUCUCAUCCAGUGAAAUUAUCUGCUCUCCUCAAGUGAGUAAGACAUAAAAAUUUCCUUGUGUUUUUCCUUGCGUCUGAAACUUCAGUUUCUACAAAAAUCUGAAGGCUACUUCUGAGGGUGACAGCUGUGCUAUUUUGUUUUCUGUUAUCAGUGUUUCUUUUUCAUUAAUGUUUAUGUUAUUUCUCAGUUAACGUGGCAGCCCAACAUUUAGGUAAAAGAGAAUCUGAUUUUAUUUAGAAGGCAUUUUAUUUAUUUGAGGCUAUUCUAGAUGACUUGUUUAAGGGAUGUAUCACAUCUUAACUGAUGACUUCAUCCUCCUCCUGUACAAUUACAGUUCUACGUAACAAAGAGAUGGCUAUAUGUAUCCAAGGGAAAUGAAAUUACAUAAGCAGAAAAUUAAGCCUGUAUAGUAUAUAGCAUAUAAAUACUUUUGACUGGUAAGUAGAGAGAUUUCCAAUGUGUUCUGAAAUUUUGGUCCUUGGACCAAGGCAAAAAAAUGAUCACCUCAAGGUAAAAUACAAGUCUCUUGUCCUUUUAAAAAUUAGUAGUUAUAUAUAAAUGGGUGAUGAUGUUAGAGCUCCUUGCUUUGAUUUAUCUUAUGAAUUAAAUUUAUCAGCUGCAAAAUUUGCUGCAUCAGAAUUUUCACAAUGAUCCCCCCUCAAAGAGAUGGCAUCUAAUGUGCUGAAGUGAAGGCUGAUAUCAAAAGGGUUUGAAGCUCAAUUUAAAGUGCUAAUCAGAGGUAUGUCUGCAACCAACAACUGCUCUUACAGUAUUUCUGGCUUGGCUUAUAGUAAUGCUGCAUAAUGAUUUAUAGCGAGAGUUUUAUAAAACCUCUCUCGUACAGAAAAGACUUCAAGGGAGGGGGUGAGGCUUCUUUACUUAGUUCCUUUCAGUGGUUCAGCACUCUGCAGAGGCCUUCUAAAAUGCCACGGAUAUUAACAUUUACACAAGCACAGCUGGGAUGCAAUUUUUUUCCUGGCAUCUUUCAUUCAGAUAUAAAAUAGGUGCCAGGACAAUAUUAAGAAGUAUAUUUUUGAAGAAAUAAAGUCUUGAACUAAGGUCUUCA
ensembl:lncRNA